UACAGAGGUCUCAAGCGUUGUUCGGAUUUAUUGGGCGUAAAGCGUGCGUAGGCGGCUGCGCAAGUCGGUUGUGAAACCCCGGGGCUCAACCCCGGAACUGCAUCCGAUACUGCGUGGCUAGAGGUAGGUAGGGGAGAUCGGAAUUCCUGGUGUAGCGGUGAAAUGCGCAGAUAUCAGGAAGAACACCAAUGGCGAAGGCAGCUCUCUGGGACGGUACUGACGCUGAGACGCGAAAGCGUGGGGAGCGAACAGG
rnacentral:rRNA from 1 species